GGAUUUCUUGGAGGACCUCUUUAGAAAGGUCAACUUCUUUAAUCAGCUCGAUGUUAGCCAACUUUUUUUGCUUCAAAAAGUACUCCAGUCAAUCUAUCUUUUCCUUUGCUACUAUAAGCUUUAACGUCGAAGCCUCAAAGGGUCGAUGAAGCUGGCCAAAUAAUGUCUUAUCUGUACAAAAUUUAUACAAAGCCAUGUGAGAUUAAAUGCUGCAAGUUG
rnacentral:lncRNA from 1 species